GAUGAACGCUGGCGGUGUGCCUAACACAUGCAAGUCGAGCGAACCCUUCGGGGUGAGCGGCGGACGGGUGAGUAACGCGUGGGUAACCUGCCCUGUACACACGGAUAACAUACCGAAAGGUAUGCUAAUACGAGAUGAUAUAUAAAAGUUGCAUGACUUUUAUAUCAAAGCUUUUGCGGUACAGGAUGGACCCGCGUCUGAUUAGCUAGUUGGUAAGGUAACGGCUUACCAAGGCGACGAUCAGUAGCCGACCUGAGAGGGUGAUCGGCCACACUGGAACUGAGACACGGUCCAGACUCCUACGGGAGGCAGCAGUGGGGAAUAUUGCACAAUGGGCGAAAGCCUGAUGCAGCAACGCCGCGUGAGCGAUGAAGGCCUUCGGGUCGUAAAGCUYUGUCCUCAAGGAAGAUAAU
rnacentral:rRNA from 1 species